rnacentral:rRNA from 1 species
GACGAACCGUGCGAACGUUGUUCGGAAUCACUGGGCGUAAAGCGCACGCAGGCGGAUUGAUAAGUCGGGGGUGAAAUCCCGGGGCUCAACCUCGGAAUUGCCUUCGAUACUGUCUGUCUUGAGUCCGGGAGAGGUGAGUGGAAUUCCUAGUGUAGAGGUGAAAUUCGUAGAUAUUAGGAAGAACACCAGUGGCGAAGGCGGCUCACUGGCCCGGUACUGACGCUCAUGUGCGAAAGCGUGGGGAGCAAACAGG